AUCCCAUAGCAAUAGAAACCUAGUUAUGAUUGAGGCAGUGUAUACCUCGAGUAGGCUAGUUCCAUAGUAUCUCUGUCAUACACUAUCUAUAUAAAAUCAUAUCAUUGCGCGAGGCCCACGUUCUAUUACACUACUAGGCAGUGAGGAGGACCGAAUUUAGAACCCACGGCCAUCGUGCAUUCUGACCCCCCGAUUCAGAUAUGCUUAGAGACAGAGAGAGUGUGUGUGUGUGUGUGUGUGCGUGUAUGUGUGUGUGUGUGUGUGUGUGUGUGUGUGUGUGUGUGUGUGUGUGUGUGUGUGUGUGUGUGAGAGAGAGAGAGAGAGAGAGAGAGAGAAGUGCAAGGCGCAGUUAUUGAUUUUCACAGCACGUACCAUCAUGGAGCAUGGAGAUUUGCCAACGGGUUUCUGUGUCUCAAAGGCCCAUUUUUCCCCUCGGAGAAAAAAGUUCCGGUUGCUUUUUUAAAAAGAGAGAAUGUGUGUGGAACCAGAGACCGAGACCGAGAGAGAGGGGCGAAUCCGUUUCUGCGGUGAUACCGGAAGGGGAAAAAAAGACCUCUCUUUCAACAAGUCCCAGCGAAGCGCAGUCUCGUGUCUCGUCGCCGCUCUUCUGUCCGCCCGCCGGUCGAGUGGGAGAAGGGGACCAGUCAACUGUGCUUCCACGCUCACUUCUCAACCGUGUGCGUCGGUACGUUCUCUCACCAGCUUACCUCUGCCACUCUCUCGCAACACACACUCUCUCUCUCUCUCUCUCUCUCUCUCUCCCUCUCUCUCUCUCUCUCUCUCUCUCGCAACACUCUCUCUCUCUCUCUUUCUCUCUCCCUCUCUCGCUCGCUCUCUCUCUCUCUCCCUCUCACGGGGAGCUGCUGCAGUCUGUGUUCAUAGAAGACCCUCGAGAGCUCUCGAGUCCUCCUGUCAUUCCUUCCCGUUACCCGUCAGCUCGAGCGGAAAAAGUGGUCGAAAGCAAAAGUGCACCCGGUGGCGCAGAACCGCUGACUGAAGACUAAACGGGGUUACCUACAGACUAAACCAAAUCUCUUAAAGGGACAGUACAGGCUAGUACUCAGUGUGUUCAAUCAUCAACAUUUAAUAUAUACAAGGUAGAAAAGAAAGACAGAAUCAAAUCAGAAUGUGGUUACAUUUCAUUAAAUAAAAUGCAAACAAAAUAAUACA
rnacentral:lncRNA from 1 species